AUUGAACGCUGGCGGCAUGCCUUACACAUGCAAGUCGAACGGUAACAGGUCUUCGGAUGCUGACGAGUGGCGAACGGGUGAGUAAUACAUCGGAACGUGCCCGAGAGUGGGGGAUAACGAGGCGAAAGCUUUGCUAAUACCGCAUACGAUCUCAGGAUGAAAGCAGGGGACCGCAAGGCCUUGCGCUCACGGAGCGGCCGAUGGCAGAGUAGGUAGUUGGUGGGAUAAAGGCUUACCAAGCCGACGAUCUGUAGCUGGUCUGAGAGGACGACCAGCCACACUGGGACUGAGACACGGCCCAGACUCCUACGGGAGGCAGCAGUGGGGAAUUUUGGACAAUGGGCGCAAGCCUGAUCCAGCCAUGCCGCGUGCAGGAUGAAGGCCUUCGGGUUGUAAACUGCUUUUGUACGGAACGAAAAGACUCUGGUUAAUACCUGGGGUCCAUGACGGUACCGUAAGAAUAAGCACCGGCUAACUACGUGCCAGCCGCCGCGGUAAAAC
rnacentral:rRNA from 1 species